rnacentral:rRNA from 1 species
GAUCAUGGCUCAGGAUGAACGCUAGCGACAGGCCUAACACAUGCAAGUCGAGGGGCAGCGAAGAGGUAGCAAUACCUUUGUCGGCGACCGGCGCACGGGUGAGUAACACGUAUGCAAUCCACCUGUAACAGGGGGAUAACCCGGAGAAAUCCGGACUAAUACCCCAUAAUAUGGGCGCUCCGCAUGGAGAGCCCAUUAAAGAGAGCAAUUUUGGUUACAGACGAGCACCUGCGCUCCA